UGAAUCAUCAAAUCUUUGAACGCAAAUUGCACUCUCUUCGGAGAGUAUGCCUGUUUGAGGGUCAGCCUAAAAAAAAAAAUCGACAUAGUCUCUGUUUCGCUGUUACAUUCUUCGGAAAUUGGGUCAUCUUAAACCUUUUUGUCUUAAUCUUCUUAAAAUUUUCUUUACGAUUCCACGUACGUUCCUAAGAUUUAUUUCUUUUAUGUUUAAGUUAUCGAUCUUUAUCAGACCUAGCC
rnacentral:misc_RNA from 1 species